GACAAGUAUUGGCUUGUCGGAGGGAGAUGUUUUCGUGUCUGCUGCUGCUGCUGCUGCUGCUGCUGCUGCUGCUGCUGCUGCUGCUGCUGCUGCUGCUGCUGCUGCUGCUGCUGCUGCUGCUGCUGAAGAUAUAA